UACGUAGGAAGCGAGCGUUAUCCGGAAUUACUGGGCGUAAAGCGCGCGUAGGUGGUCUUUCAAGUCGAAUGUGAAAUUUCCCGGCUUAACCGGGAAGGGUCGUUCGAUACUGUUGGACUAGAGAGCGGCAGGGGGAAGCGGAAUUCCCGGUGUAGUAGUGAAAUGCGUAGAUAUCGGGAGGAACACCAGUGGCGAAGGCGGCUUCCUGGGCUGUUUCUGACACUGAGGCGCGAAAGUGUGGGGAGCGAACAGA
rnacentral:rRNA from 1 species